rnacentral:rRNA from 1 species
UGACGGUAUCUAACCAGCAAGUCACGGCUAACUACGUGCCAGCAGCCGCGGUAAUACGUAGGUGGCAAGCGUUAUCCGGAUUUAUUGGGCGUAAAGGGAACGCAGGCGGUUUUUUAAGUCUGAUGUGAAAGCCUUCGGCUUAACCAGAGAAUAGCAUUGGAAACUGGAAGACUUGAGUGCAGAAGAGGAGAGUGGAACUCCAUGUGUAGCGGUGAAAUGCGUAGAUAUAUGGAGGAACACCGGUGGCGAAAGCGGCUCUCUGGUCUGUAACUGACGCUGAGGCUCGAAAGCGUGGGGAGCAAACAGGAUUAGAUACCCUG